rnacentral:rRNA from 3 species
GCAAUGCCGCGUGUGUGAAGAAGGCCUUCGGGUUGUAAAGCACUUUUGUCCGGAAAGAAAUCCUUGGCUCUAAUACAGUCGGGGGAUGACGGUACCGGAAGAAUAAGCACCGGCUAACUACGUGCCAGCAGCCGCGGUAAUACGUAGGGUGCGAGCGUUAAUCGGAAUUACUGGGCGUAAAGCGUGCGCAGGCGGUUUGCUAAGACCGAUGUGAAAUCCCCGGGCUCAACCUGGGAACUGCAUUGGUGACUGGCAGGCUAGAGUAUGGCAGAGGGGGGUAGAAUUCCACGUGUAGCAGUGAAAUGCGUAGAGAUGUGGAGGAAUACCGAUGGCGAAGGCAGCCCCCUGGGCCAAUACUGACGCUCAUGCACGAAAGCGUGGGGAGCAAACAGGAUUAGAUACCCUGGUAGUCCACGCCCUAAACGAUGUCAACUAGUUGUUGGGGAUUCAUUUCCUUAGUAACGUAGCUAACGCGUGAAGUUGACCGCCUGGGGAGUACGGUCGCAAGAUUAAAACUCAAAGGAAUUGACGGGGACCCGCACAAGCGGUGGAUGAUGUGGAUUAAUUCGAUGCAACGCGAAAAACCUUACCUACCCUUGACAUGGUCGGAAUCCUGCUGAG